GUAGAAAUACAAAGCACGGCUUAUAAGUUCUUGGCAAACAGAAGAACCGAUAGCAUUAAUUAGAGAAAGACAUCACAAAGAUACUGCCAGUUAUGCGGUGGGUUUCGAACCCGCUACCUCCACUCAGCCGAGCUUUCAAAGGAUCGGCAAAACCGUGCGACCAGGGAAAUCUAUUACGUAAUACAGAUUUCAGAAGUUUGGAAAGGUAUUAUCUAAUCGAGUAUCGAUUCUACUUCCGAUACUUUACAACUUGCGUUGUAAAGGGUUUCAAAUCGAUGAAAUUGAGACACCGGAAGUGCAUCUAUUAAACAAUUCAAUGCCCCUGACUCGUGUAGCAUUACGUUUGAAUUUUUGUAAGUUCUAGCGUUUUUAGAGUUUUCAAUAAAAAAAAACGUUUGUGGUCAAGAUGACAUCUUUUCAAGCAAAGAAUCCAUCGGCUGCCAGGUUUAUAAAAAUGCUCUUCAUUAUCGUACUAGCUAUUAUACCCAUAUUGGAAUCUGCACGCAUAUCUCCACAGUUUAUGUCUGGCGGUCAGUCUUUUAACUCCUUACAACCACAGCAACAAUGGAGCGGUGAUAAUAUGCAAUCAACAACCAGAUUUUCAUCGUUAAUGAGUGGUUCUGACAAUUCGAUUAUAAAUCCUUUAAGUUUUCCUGGAAUGGGUAAACUUCGUCUUUUGUCAACGCUGUUUACUGGGAUGCAAAAUACUGGAUUGGAAGCCACAAUAGCCGGAGAAGUUCUUCAAAGAAUGAUUAAAACGUCCCUGAAAGAAAUUAUAGUGCCUUUUAAACAACAAAUGUUCACCAGAUUUACUUAAAUACCUUCUCAUAAUUGCAAUUUCGAUAAAGUUUUUAUUUAUUGACUGCUUUGCAUCGAAAUUCAGUUAGCUUGUGUAAUUUUAUGAACUGGUCAUUAUUCAUUCUCUGAAAAUAGCCAUUUUGAUCAUUUUUUCCCCUCCCUUUCACCUUAGCAACAAUGAAAAAAUGAAGAUUUGCAAUUUAGAACAUGGAUUUUUACAGUCAAAUAUGUUUUUAUUUCGAAAAUAAUUGUUCCAACUCUUUCAGAGAUGUGAGAAGUCUGUCAAUGCCGUAAUUCUGAAAUGAAAAACCCUAGAUUUGAGGUAACCAAGAUUCUCUUAAAUGUCUUAAGUUUAAAAACAUAUUCAGUAUUUCAAAAUGGAUUUUAUUUAUUGACAGUUUUAUUUAUUUGAUUUUUUUUUUCAUUUGAUUAUUGAUUGGUAUAUAAUAAUCUUUGAAAAUGGCCAUUGUUCUAAAAUCGAAUUAAUUUCCAUCGCAUAACUAAUAAUUGGAAAGCGGCUUUCUUGGCAUAGCAAGAAAAAAGGAAAAGAGAAUAUUUACGAUAUGAAAGCGAAAUGUUUACAGUGGUAUAGUCUAACAGUGGUUUUUAUUUCGAACAUAUUACCUCAAGAUUUUCUAGAGCUACGUGAAGUGACUUCCGUCAUUCGAAGUCAUCAAAGAUCUGAUAUCUGUCAGUGGUGUUAACUGUAGAGCAAAACACUAGAUUGGAAGUUACCAAGGUUUUCUUAUCUACUGCUUGCUGUGCUUCGAAUCUGUGCUUCAAAUUGAAUUUUAUUAUUUUAUAUCAUUUGAUUGAUUAGUAUUAUAUUUAUUUUCUAUAAUCCCCAUCGUUCUAAAAUCGAAACAAUUCCCAUUGCAUAAGCAAUAAUUGGAAAGUUGUUCUCUUGACAUUGCAGCUACAAGGGAAACAGUGGUUUUAAUUUCGAACGUAAAUGUCCUAAAUUUUACAGAGAUGCGGGAAGUGUGUUUUCAGUCAGAGCUGUUAUUCUGGAGCGCAAAACACUCAAUUUGAAGCCACCAAGAGUUUCUUGAAUAUCUUCAUUUAAAAACCUUAUCAAUACUUCAAAACAGAUUAUAUUUAUUGGCAGUUUUAUAUUAUACGUUUUAAUUUUGAUUAUUAAUUGGAGUAAUAUUCUUCCUGUGAAAACGGUCAUCGUUAGGAAAUUAAAUUCAUUUCCAUAUCGAAAACACUAAUUGGAAAGUGGCAAUUUGCUAUUAAUAUUCCAAUUUUUUUUCCCCUGAUCUUCGAGUAUUGGCUCUGUUAUUAUGAACACAAAAUGCUCCAACUUUUCCACGGAUAUGCGAAUGCUAAAGAAGGUAAAUUCAAUCUUCCAUGCUAUGCACAAUGCUAUGUAGUGCAAAAACUGGAUAGAAGACCACUACAAUGGCAAACCUGUUCUGUCAAAGAGAAAAGCAUAAAGACAUUUUAAUUUCUUUAAUAAGCUUUCAAGACAAUUUUUUUUUCUUACUUUCCAAGUUGCAUCAUUUCAAUUCUGUGCAAGCUAAAACCAAUGUAUUGAAAUUUAGUUAGUUUUUUUUUAUCUUGAAUGUUUGAUGGUACAAUAUUAGUUCUUUGAAAAUGUUCGCCAUUACCUGUUUUAUACUUUAUUACAAUUUUGAGAGAAUAGUAAUAGUAACAUAAUUUUUUUUAUUACAAAAUUAUUUAUUUUCUUACAUCUUGAAACAUCCCAUUAUGAAUAAAUUUUAGAAGAAAAAAUCA